GAUGAACGCUGGCGGCGCGCCUAACACAUGCAAGUCGAACGGCACCUAUCUUCGGGUAGAAGCGAGUGGCGAACGGCUGAGUAACACGUGGAGAACCUGCCCCCUCCCCCGGGAUAGCCGCCCGAAAGGACGGGUAAUACCGGAUACCCCGGGGUGCCGCAUGGCACCCCGGCUAAAGCCCCGACGGGAGGGGAUGGCUCCGCGGCCCAUCAGGUAGACGGCGGGGUGACGGCCCACCGUGCCGACAACG
rnacentral:rRNA from 1 species